rnacentral:tRNA from 1 species
GCCUCAGUAGCUCAGCAUGGUAGAGCGUCUGCAUGGUAGCACAGCAGAAGGCCGAGGGUUCAAAUCCCCCCUGAGGCU